CAUUGUGAAGAAUAGUUAGAAACUGCCUGUAAAUGCAGCUGAAAUUUAUAUAUUUUAUUGAAGUUCAUGGGUUGUGAAACGUUUAAUAAUUGGUGAUUUAAUUUUUAUUCCUUUGGAGUGUACAGUGAAUUUUGUUUGAUUUUGUUCAGAAGAAUUGUAUUAUUCUCGCGAGAAUUUGAGCCUUUUAUGUUGGCCGCAGGUGAGCACGUCUUUUGCUCACGAGGUUGCAGCAAUUAAGAGUUCAAGCUGGGAGAAAGAGCUGCAAAAAAAGAUUACUUUGGACUCAAAGAGACUCUUUUUCUUGACAAGCGGAAACGAGUUUUCACGGCGUAAUGAAGGCGCAAUGAAAGCGAAGGCACGCAAUGUCCCACAAGAAGUGUGAUGACCUGCAGAAGUACAAAUAAACGCCCGUUGUAAACCGACCUGUGUUGUCAUGAGAAGAGUCACAGUGAAAACUCGACUGCUCCACACGGGGAGGAGACAGGAGACUGCAGCGUGAAGCCCGCUAAGCAGAGCCGAGAGGCACGAGGAAGCCGACGCCCAUUUCCUUACCGCGUGCAGGCAAGCAGAUGAAAAGACUGUCGGAAGCGCAGCUCGUCCAAUGAAGCCCAGAAAGUUAUUUUCCAAAAAGUAAAGAAAUAGUGUAAAAAGGGGAUUUAAAGGUUGCAGCUAAGGAAAUAAGUUAUUUGUUAUCUUUGGAAUUCUAAGGCGUUUCUACUAUAUUGUUACAUAUCAAGAAAAUGUUUUUGUGACUUAUU